rnacentral:rRNA from 1 species
UACGAAGGGUGCAAGCAUUACUCGGAAUUACUGGGCGUAAAGCGUGCGUAGGUGGUGAGUUAAGUCUGUCGUGAAAGCCCCGGGCUCAACCUGGGAAUGGCGAUGGAUACUGGCUCGCUAGAGUGCGGUAGAGGAGAGUGGAAUUCCCGGUGUAGCAGUGAAAUGCGUAGAGAUCGGGAGGAACAUCAGUUGCGAAGGCGGCUCUCGUGGGACGGUAGCUGACGCUGAGACGCGAAAGCGUGGGGAGCGAACAGG